rnacentral:rRNA from 1 species
UACAGAGGUCUCAAGCGUUGUUCGGAUUCAUUGGGCGUAAAGGGUGCGUAGGCGGCGCGGUAAGUCGGGUGUGAAAUCUUGGAGCUUAACUCCGAAACUGCAUUCGAUACUGCCGUGCUUGAGGACUGGAGAGGAGACUGGAAUUUACGGUGUAGCGGUGAAAUGCGUAGAUAUCGUAAGGAAGACCAGUGGCGAAGGCGGGUCUCUGGACAGUUCCUGACGCUGAGGCACGAAAGCGUGGGGGAGCAAACAGG